rnacentral:rRNA from 1 species
AUAAGAGGUCCCGCCUGCCCAGUGACCAAGUUCAACGGCCGCGGUAUCCUAACCGUGCGAAGGUAGCGUAAUCACUUGUUCUUUAAAUGAGGACUAGUAUGAAUGGCACCACGAGGGCUAUACUGUCUCCUUUUUCUAAUCAAUGAAACUGAUCCCCCCGUGAAGAAGCGGGGAUAAACAUAUAAGACGAGAAGACCCUAUGGAGCUUUAAACAAAAUAGCACUGGCCCCCCCCUUCCUACCUUCCAGAAACAUAACACCCAUACUGGCCAAAAUGACUAUUAGUUUUAGGUUGGGGUGACCACGGAGCAAAAAUUAACCUCCACAUUGAACGGAAAUACUCCUGAGCCAAAAGCUACGACUUUAAGCACCAGUAAACUGACAUUAAUUGACCCAAUAUUUUGAUCAACGAACCAAGUUACCCUAGGGAUAACAGCGCAAUCCAUUUCAAGAGCUCCUAUCGACAAAUGGGUUUACGACCUCGAUGUUGGAUCAGGGUACCCCAGUGGUGCAGCCGCUACUAAAGGUUCGUUUGUUCAACGAUUAAAACCCUACGUGA